rnacentral:rRNA from 1 species
AGAGUUUGAUCCUGGCUCAGGAUGAACGCUAGCGGCGGGCCUAAUACAUGCAAGUCGAACGGUGCAGCAAUGCAUAGUGGCAGACGGGUGCGUAACGCGUAUGCAACCUACCCCAGAUCGGGGGAUAACCCUUCGAAAGAGGGGCUAAUACCGCAUAAGAUGGUAAACCGGCAUUGGUUAGCCAUUAAACUUACGGGGAUCUGGGAUGGGCAUGCGUCUGAUUAGCUAGUUGGCGGGGUAACGGCCCACCAAGGCGACGAUCAGUAGGGGAACUGAGAGGUUGAUCCCCCACACUGGCACUGAGAUACGGGCCAGACUCCUACGGGAGGCAGCAGUAGGGAAUAUUGGGCAAUGGAGGAAACUCUGACCCAGCCACGCCGCGUGCAGGAGGAAGGCCCUCUGGGUUGUAAACUGCUUUAGCAGGGGAAGAAAAAGCGCUUGCGAGCGAAAUUGACGGUACCCUGAGAAUAAGCACCGGCUAACUACGUGCCAGCAGCCGCGGUAAUACGUAGGGUGCAAGCGUUGUCCGGAUUUAUUGGGUUUAAAGGGUGCGUAGGCGGCCAAUUAAGUCAGUGUUUAAAUUUUGCAGC